AUUGAACGCUGGCGGCAGGCUUCACACAUGCAAGUCGCGAGAGCGGCGGACGGGUGAGUAAUGUCUGGGAAACUGCCUGCUGGCGGGGGCUAACUCCUGGAAACGGUCGCUAAUACCGCAUACCAUCAGAUGUACACAGAUGGGCUUAGGUAGUCUGUGGGGGAAUGGCUCACUAAGGCGACGAUCCAGAGCUGGUCGGAGAGGAUGACCAGCCACACUGGAACGUAGACACGGUCCAGACUCCUACGGGAGGCAGCAGUGGGGAAUAUUGCACAAUGGGCGCAAGCCUGAUGCAGCAAUGCCGCGUGGGUGAAGAAGGCCUUCGGGUUGUAAAGCACUUUCAUCGAGGAGGCGUUACUCGCAGAAGAAGCACCGGCUAACUCCGUGCCAGCAGCCGCGGUAAUAC
rnacentral:rRNA from 1 species